AUUGAACGCUGGCGGCAGGCCUAACACAUGCAAGUCGAACGAGUGGCGGACGGGUGAGUAAUGCUUGGGAAACUAGCUGAUGGAGGGGGAUAACUACGGGAAACUGUAGCUAAUACCGCAUACCCUAGGAUGAGCCCAAGUGGGAUUAGGUAGUUGGUGGGGUAACGGCUCACCAAGCCGACGAUCCCUAGCUGGUCUGAGAGGAUGACCAGCCACACUGGGACUGAGACACGGCCCAGACUCCUACGGGAGGCAGCAGUGGGGAAUCUUUAGCAAUGGGCGCAAGUCUGACGCAGCAAUGCCGCGUGUGUGAAGAAGGCUUUAGGUUUGUAAAGUACUGUAGUCGGGGAGGCGUUACCCAAAGAAGAAGCAACGGCUAACUACGUGCCAGCAGCCGCGGUAAUUC
rnacentral:rRNA from 1 species